GUAUGUUUACAAAAACGAAAGAAAAAAAAAAAUGAAACGCUACCGUUUUACUGCAAAUAGGCAAGUGGCACCCAAAAAUGGAUAUUCGUUCAAAAUGUUCUGUUCUCCUUCGAGAGAAGACGGUUGUGCCAUUUGAAAUGUCGAAAAAACCCUCACCAUGAUCGCAAAGAAAUGCUUUAGAGUUUUGAAUUACGAGGAUUACACAUGGUUAAAACUGUCAACCAGAAAAAAACUGGUAUUUUGGUUAACUAGUUUACUAGCACCUCAAUAUCCAGUUCUCAGUUCCAGCAGAAUUCUACACAGUACGCACUGAAGGGAGAUUUUCGAAUAUGGCUUGGAAAUUUCAGAGAUUUUUCUAUAAUUUAGUCUUUAAGGUGAAUAGCCAAAACCCCACUCAAUUCUAAAACUUUUUACUCCUUCAACUUGACUUCUAAGGAAUACAUACAAUGCAAGCAAUCCCGUCACCAACAACCUUUUUUUAUCUCUGGGUUUAACGUUAAAUGCUGAUUUAGUUGGUGAAAGUGAAACCCAAGAAUUGACUGCUUAACUCAAUGAAAUUAGGCUCUCUAUAUCCUUUCUCUGUCAUCUUCCUUUCUUUCCUAUAACGUUCUCUCUGUGUGUCUCCGGGUGAAUUCUGCAAUGAAGUGUUGGUGCCAAAUUGCAGGACUCGUCCACUUGAUGAUCGAUAGCCAUAGGUGGGUACAUCUUUCCCUUUCUUUUUUCUUUUUCCAGUACAUUCACAUUGAUCGAAGCGGAAAACAAACUCGAAUCCCAUAAAAGGGAGAAUAUUAGCUUGAUUUGUAACAUACAUGCAUGUUAGAAAAGUUAAAAAAUUUUAUGUUCUACUGUCUAAAUGAGGUUAACCUUCUGUCCUACAAAAAAAUAACAUUCUUUAUAAAAUAUUGGUAAGCUCAUUGGAUUUA